AACACAGAGCAUUGUCUUCCGUCCAUAGCGAUUUGGUCUUGUAGUUGAUGUCGAUGGUUCGCCUGGAGCUAAAUAUAUCCACUUUUCAUCGCCAGUCACAAUUCGGUGGAGAAGUGACUUUCUUUUGUAUCUGGCGAGCAGCAUUUCGCAAGUGGUUUUUCGGUUUUCCUGCUGUCUUUCAUUCAGUUCAUGUGGAACCCAUUUUCCCACCUUCUGGAUCUUUCCCAUGGCUUUCAAACGUAUGGAGACGGCUUCUCGUGUCACGUUUAAUUGAUCAGCGAGUUGUUAUUGCGUUUGAGCUUCAUGUGGAACCCAUUUUCCCACCUUCUGGAUCUUUCCCGUGGCUUUCAAAAGUAUGGAGACGGCUUCUCAUGUCACGUUUAAUUGAUCAGCGAGUUGUUGUUGCGUUUGAGCGUCAUCCUCAUCCAACAAUGCUUGCAAUUCGCUGUCUUGAAACUUUUUCGGUGGUUUC
rnacentral:misc_RNA from 1 species